rnacentral:rRNA from 1 species
GCUAACUACGAGACAGCUGCCGCGGGAAGACGUGGUGGGCAAGCGGUGUCCGGAUUUAAAGGGAGGGAAAAGCGUGUAGGAAGCCAUGCAGGUGCGCUGUGAAAACGCGAGGCGGAAGCGCGAAAGGUCGGGGGAAACCGGUUGGCUGGAGUCCGGAAGAGGAGAGUGGAAUGCCCGUUGUAGCGGGGAAGUGCGCAGAUUGCGGGAAGAACACCCGUGGCGAAGGCGGCUCUCUGGGACGGUACUGACGCGGAGACGCGAAAGCGUGGGGAGCGAACAGGAGUAGAUACCCCAGUAGUC